rnacentral:rRNA from 1 species
UACGUAGGGGGCAAGCGUUGUCCGGAUUUAUUGGGCGUAAAGCGCGCGCAGGCGGUCUCUUAAGUCUGAUGUGAAAGCCCACGGCUCAACCGUGGAAGGUCAUUGGAAACUGGGAGACUUGAGUGUAGGAGAGGGAAGUGGAAUUCCACGUGUAGCGGUGAAAUGCGUAGAGAUGUGGAGGAACACCAGUGGCGAAGGCGACUUUCUGGCCUAUAACUGACGCUGAGGCGCGAAAGCGUGGGGAGCAAACAGG